GACGAACGCUGGCGGCGCGCCUAACACAUGCAAGUCGAACGGAGCUGAGAGAAGCUUGCUUUUCUUAGCUUAGUGGCGAACGGGUGAGUAACGCGUGAGUAACCUGCCCUGGAGUGGGGGACAACAGUUGGAAACGACUGCUAAUACCGCAUAAGCCCACGAUCCGGCAUCGGAUUGAGGGAAAAGGAUUUAUUCGCUUCAGGAUGGACUCGCGUCCAAUUAGCUAGUUGGUGAGGUAACGGCCCACCAAGGCGACGAUUGGUAGCCGGACUGAGAGGUUGAACGGCCACAUUGGGGCUGAGACACGGACCAGACUCCUACGGGAGGCAGCAGUGGGGGAUAUUGCACAAUGGGGGAAACCCUGAUGCAGCGACGCCGCGUGGAGGAAGAAGGUUGUCGGAUUGUAAACUCCUGUCGUUAGGGACGAUAAUGACGGUACCUAACAAGAAAGCACCGGCUAACUACGUG
rnacentral:rRNA from 1 species